GUGGGGGAUCUUCGGACCUCACGCUAUUUGAUGAGCCUGCGUAGGAUUAGCUAGUUGGUGGGGUAAAGGCCUACCAAGGCGACGAUCCUUAGCUGGUCUAAGAGGAUGAUCAGCCACACUGGGACUGAGACACGGCCCAGACUCCUACGGGAGGCAGCAGUGGGGAAUAUUGGACAAUGGGGGCAACCCUGAUCCAGCCAUGCCGCGUGUGUGAAGAAGGCCUUCGGGUUGUAAAGCACUUUCAGAGGUGAGGAAAGGUGCGUGGUUAAUACCCGCGUACUGUGACGUUAGCCUCAGAAGAAGCACCGGCUAACUCCGUGCCAGCAGCCGCGGUAAUACGGAGGGUGCGAGCGUU
rnacentral:rRNA from 1 species